GACGAACGCUGGCGGCGUGCUUAACACAUGCAAGUCGAACGGAAAGGCCUCCAUCUUGGUGGGGGUGCUCGAGUGGCGAACGGGUGAGUAACACGUGGGUGAUCUGCCCUGUACUUCGGGAUAAGCUUGGGAAACUGGGUCUAAUACCGGAUAGGACCAUGGUUUAGUGUCUCAUGGUGGAAAGAUUAUUGUUUUGGUGCAGGAUGAGCUCGCGGCCUAUCAGCUUGUUGGUGGGGUAAUGGCCUACCAAGGCGUCGACGGGUAGCCGGCCUGAGAGGGUGGACGGCCACAUUGGGACUGAGAUACGGCCCAGACUCCUACGGGAGGCAGCAGUGGGGAAUAUUGCACAAUGGGCGCAAGCCUGAUGCAGCGACGCCGCGUGGGGGAUGACGGCCUUCGGGUGGUAAACUCCUUUCGUUAGGGACGAAGCCGCACUUUUUUUGGGUGUGGUGACGGUACCUUUGUUAAGAAGCACCGGCUAACUACGUG
rnacentral:rRNA from 1 species